UUUAAUGAGGGAGGUCUUCAUGGUUUCCAAGCUUGACUUGUUUCACAUGGUCAAGCUUGAGGGGGAGUGUUGAGAUGAGGUAAUAAAGAGAGGAUACAUUGAUAGAGAAAGAGGAUUGAGGCAUACAGUAACUUUGGAGUUUUACCACAGUAACUUUAGUUUUACUGUGGUAACUCAGUUAAAGCUUGGAAAGUGAUCUUGCUUCACUUUGGAGACUUACCCAUGACCAAGAAGCUCUUGGA
rnacentral:lncRNA from 1 species